rnacentral:ncRNA from 1 species
CCAAGAUUAUGGCAAAACCGUUAAAAGGCGGUGACGCAAAGCUACAGGGGCUAAGGGAAACUAUGCCAGCCAGCUACCAAA